rnacentral:rRNA from 1 species
UACGUAGGGUGCAAGCGUUAAUCGGAAUUACUGGGCGUAAAGCGUGCGCAGGCGGUUGUGCAAGACAGGUGUGAAAUCCCCCGGGCUUAACCUGGGAACUGCACUUGUGACUGCACGGCUAGAGUACGGUAGAGGGGGAUGGAAUUCCGCGUGUAGCAGUGAAAUGCGUAGAUAUGCGGAGGAACACCGAUGGCGAAGGCAAUCCCCUGGGCUGCACUGACGCUCAUGCACGAAAGCGUGGG